GAUCUCUCCAAACAAAUUCAUUUGUGUGAGACUGAUUUCCUUCUAGUUUCUUGUAAAAAAAAAAAAAUCUCCAUGGCUGUAACAUGGCAGAUUGUCACCUCAGGUGGUUUUUUAAUUGCCUCAGGUGGUUUUUUAAUUGCCUCAGGCUGUUCAGGGAGCUGUCGGUUGUGCUUUGCUGAGCCACAGGGAAGAGUCACCACCUUCUAACUGGAAUGCGAAGGAUCCUUCAUAGCCUCUGCCUCCCAAGGUCACUCUGAGACUGAGAUAAAGCGAGCGUCUGGUGGAAAAAACUGUGACUAAUCUAAAGCAGAGUGUACCUACAGUUACUGUAAAAAAAAAAAAAGGUACUGAUUAGAAUGCAGCUGUGGAAAACAAAGAGUAAGGCGUAACCAUGGAGUCAUCUGGAACCCCUGCACAUGAUCCAGAUCUUACAAGUUGAGGGGACAUGAAUAUGGCUUCUGAUCUUGCCUGAAAAUUUGUGAUCUGCCUUUGCUACUGCAACAGCAGUAUUUGUUUUUAUCAAAGUUGGCUAUUUGUGCUACCUGGGGUUGUUCCCUGUAGCUGAACCAACCCUCUGCGGUGAGUUGGGAAUGAAGAGGGUGACAAGGCAGAGGCCUUCAGGAAGGUUUAAGGUAUCAGUCAUAAAAUCCAGCCAGUCCCAUGAGGGUUUUGUGCUGACCUAGUUGCUGAGUUUAAAAAAACAAGCCUAACACCCCAAAAUGUUCCACAUAUCAAAUACUUGUCUGUAUUGAAGAACCCGCCAGCAAUUCUCACUUCUAAAGCAGGAGAAAAAACAUGAAAAUCUAAGCCAAUUUAAUCCCUGCUCUCUCCUUAGCAACGUGGCUGGCUGGUGGAAGAGGCUGCUUCUAGGAGAGUGAGAAAGGACUCUGAGGUAGAAAGCCCAGUUGCAGAACGGUGGGGUUUAGUUUUGGUAGGAUCAUUAAAUUCUAUUUAGAUCAGCAGAAGUAUUUUCGUGUAGAAAUACCCAAGGUUCUAGCUCAUGGAAUCUGAUCACUGUACCACCUCCUGUGCCCAAAUGCAAAGUCUAAUCUUACUUGACAGUUUCAAUUAAGACCAAAGUCCAUUACAGAAUGGCCUGAUAAGAAUUAGCAGGUCCUUAUAUGACCUGAGUCUCAAAUAAGCAACCGCCUCCCUGUAAGCCUCCCAGCCCCAUCCUGCUUCCCCUCUGCUGGAGAUAAAGCCACGCUGGCCGUGGGCUCAGUUACACCAACCCCUGCUAGAAAGGCUGAAGCAGGAAAAUUCUCUGUCAUUUCCUGUUGGGAAGGAGGUAAAGAGGAAUAAAAGCACAAGUCAAUAAUUAAUGAGGCUCAGCAAGUUCUUCUAAUGCCAUUUGAGCGCGUUACACAGCUUGAAGUAGCUUGGAAAAUGGUUAUACUAUAGACAGAAUACAGUGUUUUCACUCUUCAUACUGACCGUAGCUUAAGAGAGUUACUCAAUUAUUUUGUUUGCAAGAAAAAUAAAUUAAACUGGUGGGCAGGCAAGGCUCAGGAGGAGGUUUACAAAAGGCACAUAACCCACACGCCAAGCUUUAUGGCCUUUCUGUUGUAAAGUGUAUUUUGACAGACGAGAGCACUGAAAAUCAUAUUCAGGCACACCAGGAAACAGCCCACACAGCAGAAACGAAGCAAUAAUCAUUUCUCUGGGGAUUAUGAUCCUUUUACCAGUAUCUAAAUACAACUGAAGUAUUCUGAAAAUCAGAAUAAAAAUAUUAUACAUGCUCCUAAGAUGAAAGAUGGCAAGAGGAAUGAAUGGAAAUCUGUCUUGCAGUAAUGUAUUCUAAGUGUUACUCUAUAAUAGCACUGCUGGAGUGUUCGAAAAUUACUUGUUAAAUAAUGCACCCAGUUUCCUCCUUUCUUACAUCGUAUUUCUCUCUGACUGUGCGUUCUAAAUGGUACUUGUAGUGUGCUGCUCAGCUAAGGCUGUACCUACAAAUGCUUCCCCAUCUCUGUGUUUUCAGUUCCUUUGUGUGGCAGCUGAUGAGGCUGGGAAGUGCUGUGCUUUGAGGCACGGCCCUAGAUCUGCAAUGCAGAAAAAACCACUGGCUUCUCCAGAGUGCUGCAUUCUUCAAGGGCAAGUAGGUUCUUCUUUCAGUAUCAAAAAGGCCUGCAUUUCAUACCCAUCUGGCGUUGCUUCACUGUCUGUAAUUACAUAUUGUGAAACAUGAA